AGGAUGAACGCUGGCGGUCUGCUUAACACAUGCAAGUCGAACGGAGUACCUCGGUACUUAGUGGCGGACGGGUGAGUAACGCGUGAGAAUCUGCCCUUAGGUCGGGGACAACCAUUGGAAACGAUGGCUAAUACCGGAUAAGCCGAGAGGUAAAAGAUUAAUUGCCUAGGGAAGAGCUCGCGUCUGAUUAGCUAGUUGGUGAGGUAAAGGCUCACCAAGGCAUCGAUCAGUAGCUGGUCUGAGAGGAUGAUCAGCCACACUGGGACUGAGACACGGCCCAGACUCCUACGGGAGGCAGCAGUGGGGAAUUUUCCGCAAUGGGCGAAAGCCUGACGGAGCAAGCCGCGUGAGGGAGGAAGGCUCUUGGGUUGUAAACCUCUUUUCUUGGGGAAGAACAAAAUGACGGUACCCAAGGAAUCAGCAUCGGCUAACUCCGCGCCAGCAGCCGC
rnacentral:rRNA from 1 species